ensembl:lncRNA
AUGUUGCAUGAGAAACUUUGUAGCCUAGAGAAAAGCGAACCGCAUCCACAAACCACGCUCUGCUCUGUUGUGUGUACAGGGACGUGUUCUCAUUUUAACGCUCUCUCCUGUGACGAGUGUCUGCAGCUGGGGCCACGGUGCGCCUGGUGCACACUACAGAAUUUCACCGACUUUUUCUCAAUCAAUGAGAGAUGCGACACACCAGAGGCUCUUCUUCAGAAAGGAUGCUCCGGCAAAUUUGUGGAGUUCCCCGUCACGAAUGUCAAAGUGCUGAAGGAUCAAGGCUUAGGAAAGAGUGCCAACCACACUAAUGUUUCAUACGUCGCACCGCAGAAGAUGCGCCUCCAGCUAAGGCCAGGAAGUCAGCUGACCUUUCAAAUUCAAGUGCAGGAACCGGAGGACCAUCCGGUGGACAUUUAUUACCUGAUGGACCUGUCAGCAUCUAUGAUUGAUGAUCUGAAAAUGAUCAAAGACUUGGGUUCGAUGCUCUCCAAAGAGAUGGCUACGCUUACCAGCAAAUUCAGAUUAGGAUUCGGUUCCUUUGUGGAGAAACCAGUUCUGCCUUUCAUCAAAAUAACACACGAAGAGUUGGCCAAUCCCUGCAGGAGUGUUGAUUAUGAAUGUCUCCCAACAUUUGGAUACAGACAUCUUCUGUCAUUAACAAGCAGUAUUGACAAGUUUAAUGAGAUCAUCUCAAAGCAGCAGGUAUCGGCGAACAUCGACGUGCCAGAGGGCGGUUUUGACGCCAUCAUGCAGGCUGCGGUGUGCGGGGACAGGAUUGGCUGGCAGAACAAUUCCAUGAAGCUGCUGGUGUUUGUGAGCGAUGCAGAUUCUCAUUUUGGGAUGGACAGCAAAAUGUCCGGCAUCGUUGUCCCCAAUGACGGAGAGUGUUACCUGGACGACAACAAUGAGUAUUCAAUGACUGCCCAUCUGGAGUAUCCAACAUUAGGGCAGCUUGUCGAAAAACUGGUUGAAAACAAUAUCCUGCUCAUAUUCGCUGUGACCGACAAUCAGAGACAGAACUACGAGAAUUAUGCAAGUCUGAUUCCUGGUGCUACUGUGGGGGUGUUGGCAUCCGAUUCAAGGAACAUUCUGGAGCUCAUCAUGACCUCAUAUAAGGAACUGAGGUCUGAGAUUGAUCUGGAGGUUCUGGGCAACACUGAGGGUCUGCAGAUUUCCUUCACAGCACUCUGUCAGGAUGGGACCAUCAUCCCUGGAUGUAAAAACUGCUCCAAUGUCAAAGCUGGUGAUGUGGUAUCUUUUAAUGUUACGGUCGAGUUAAAAGGCUGUCUUGCUGGUCCACGACGGUUUUCCUUGCGCCCUGUGGGUUUCCAAGAUGCCCUGGAGAUCGAACUGGAGUCUCAGUGUGUGUGUGACUGUCAUCAAACCCCUGAAGCGAGCAGUGCCUUCUGCAGCCGAGGGCGUGGGGCGCUGGAGUGCGGCACCUGUGUGUGUGAUCCAGGCUUUGUGGGGCCCAAGUGUGAACAAAUUUUAAUGUGUGAUUAUAUGUGCAGCGGACUGGGCGAGUGUUUCUGCGGACAGUGUGUGUGCCACCCGUCCAGUUUCGGUCGUGUGUAUGGGCCGUACUGCGAGUGCGACAACUUUUCCUGCCUCAGGUUCAGAGGAGAGCUUUGCGGAGGUCAGUACCCAGUUUGCUGUACUCAGGAGGAUAUGGGACAAAGGUGUGUGUGUGGGAAGUGCGAGUGCACCGUUCCCGGAGCCUCAGGAGAGUGGUGCCAAAGGUGCCCAACCUGUGGAGAUAUCUGUAGCUUACCCAGUCGGGCGACAUUUUGCACCUUACAGAGUGAGGACCACUGUCUACUGUCUUUCAGCUUGGUGGACAGUGAUCAUGGCAGCAUCAUUUACAACACCAAGCUUCAUGACUGCCCUGAGCCUCCAAACGCUCCGUUGAUCGCUCUGGGCGUGUGCAUGUCUGUCCUCAUUAUUGGCAUUAUGCUCCUUGUGAUCUGGAAGUUUCUUGUUUCUGUCCAUGACCGGAAAGAGGUUGCCAAGUUUGAGGCAGAGAAGGCAAAAGCAAAAUGGCAGUCGGGCACGAAUCCUCUUUUCAGGAGCUCGACAUCAACAUUUAAAAAUGUGACCUACAAAAGCAGAGGGCAGCAAAAUACUUAUAUUUCUUAGGUCUACUGACCAAUUUUGUGUGUUGAAACACAGAAAGUAGGCUUCUUUUUACAAGGAGCGAUUACUGUUUUUUUUCCUUAUUUUCUUGUACUGUACAAGUGAGACACUGUGUGUGUGUGUGGGUGUGCGCAUGUUUAUGUGGUUUAUGAGGACACAAAUUUGUAUAAUGACAUGGGUGUGACACAGAUAUUACAAUAUGAAGGUGAUUUAUGAGGACACUACCAGUGUCGCAGUAAUUCAAAAGGCUUAAAAAAAAACAUACAAAAUGGUGUGUUUUUGAAAAUCUAAUAAAGUACAAAGUUUUCUGUGAGGGGUAUGUUUA